UCCAGCCAGCCCAGGCUGUGGUCCUGUGUGGAAUCCUCCAAGAUCUACUCUAGACACCCUCCUGUCUUGCCAUGGAAGCAGGAGAUAUGUCUGGCCCCGUGGAUCCCAAAUCUUCCACUCUAGCUCACACUCUAGCUGUGCCACUAUACUUGCAGCUAGUCAGCAGGAUUGUCUUGCUAUAUUGUAGUAUAUUGUGGAGAAGUUCAAACACCCUGUCCUCUAUUGUGUCUGAUUCUUGGAUUUGGAUUUGUUAAUGUAGUUCUAGGAGAAAACCCCUGGUUGGAACCUUCCAACACUGGUCCCAGAACACCCAAUCCAGAAGAUGAACAGCGACGAAAGUCAGGAAAAGCUUUAAUCAGUGAGGCUUUGCCACUGGGAAGGACAGCUAAAGAGGCUCAAGACAGACCUUAAGCGAUUAACCUGCCCAUGGGGAUAGCUGAUCAAGAAACUGACACAGAACCGGAUAUAAAAUGAAGACCCUGGGCUGUCAUGGAUCGCACAGCUAUCACGUUGGCGAGUCCUGUUUUUCUAGUCAUGGGCCCUGAAUUAAAGUAUCAGAUUGGGCGUCCCGCUUUUUGGUUGGCCCUGACCUCCCAGAACCCGCAGGGCUG